UACAGAGGGGGCGAGCGUUAUUCGGAAUUAUUGGGCGUAAAGGGCGCGUAGGCGGCCAUUCAAGUGACGGGUGAAAGCCCUCGGCUUAACCGAGGAACUGCCUGUCAGACUGGAUGGCUCGAGACCGGGAGAGGUGAGUGGAAUUCCCAGUGUAGCGGUGAAAUGCGUAGAUAUUGGGAGGAACACCUGCGGCGAAGGCGGGUUGCUGGGCCGACACUGACGCUGAGGCGCGAAAGCUAGGGUAGCGAACGGG
rnacentral:rRNA from 1 species